CGGACUGGCCCAGGGAGGUCGGCAACGACCACCCAGGGCCGGAAAGUUGGUCAAACUCGGUCAUUUAGAGGAAGUAAAAGUCGUAACAAGGUCUCCGUAGGUGAACCUGCGGAGGGAUCAUUA
rnacentral:rRNA from 2 species